AUUGAACGCUGGCGGCAGGCUUAACACAUGCAAGUCGCACUAGUGGCGGACGGGUGAGUAAUGCUUGGGAAUCUAGCUUAUGGAGGGGGAUCACUACGGGAAACUGUAGCUAAUACCGCGUACCAUAGGAUGAGCCCAAGUGGGAUUAGGUAGUUGGUGAGGUAAAGGCUCACCAAGCCGACGAUCUCUAGCUGUUCUGCGAGGAUCACCAGCCACACUGUGAUGGAGACACGGCCCAGACUCCUACGGUAGGGAGCAGUGGGGAAUAUUGCGAAAUGGGGGCAACCUGACGCAGCCAUGCGGCGUGAAUGAAGAAGGCCUUCGGGUUGUAAAGUUCUUUCGGUAGCGAGGCGUUAACUACAGAAGAAGCACCGGCUAACUCCGUGCAAGCAGCCGCGGUAAUUC
rnacentral:rRNA from 1 species